GAUCGGAAGGAAAUAUACAAAAAGAUUGCUCUCUCUGAGGAUUAUGGGUAAUUUUUAUUUUUAAAUUUUUGCUUAACUAUGUUUUCUAAAUUUCCUAUAAGGAGUAGCUGUGUUUUUUUGUGUGUGUGUGUAUAAAUAGAGAGUAGCAGUUAUAUUUUAGGGGGAUCAGGUAAGCUUUUUUCAGUUCUUGUAGGCAAUAUUUACAUCAUAUUAAUUUUUUCAUCCCCCUUGGAACUGUGAAUUUACCUGCAGUUGCCUUCACAAGCCAUAGUACCCACACCCUCACCCUACCUGUAGUCAGAGCCAACAAAUUCCUUGGCAAGUUUUAAUUAAGCUCUUCCAGUGUGUCCACCCCGCAUAGGCUUGAUGGGGGAAUAGAUACAAGAGCAGUAUAAACCAGGGCCCCUUGCCAGAGCAAAUAUUUUGAUACUGAAUGAUUUGGCUGCAUCUAAGCAGGCGAGACCUGAGAACACUCACUCGCAAGGCUGCCUCUGCUAACCAAAUGGCACAGCAUACUAUGAUGUUAUAAUAUUAGGUUCUUAAUCAUGGAAACACUGGCGUCUGUUUCAGCGGAAGCUUCCUCCCAGAUGGUGCAUCCUACUGUUUUUGUCGUCUGGAACAGUGUGAGGUUUCUUAAAUGGCUGUGCGCUUCCAAAUCAUCUUCCACACAAUGGCAGCCUGUUAAUUAAGUGGUCCCUUUGUGAUUGCAUUUGAUAAAUAUGAGAUGAGAAGGGUUUAUCGAGCUGUGAAGAAAAAAGCAAGGCACAGCAACAGGAAGAAGCUCCAGCGGGUGGAAAGGCCUUUGUGUGGGCGUCGUCCAGGGAGCUUCAAGGGAAUUGGGGACAGCUUUGCAGGCACAGAAAGGAGAAGGCUGGGAUUCACUCAGACCACACGCUGCGACGUCUGCCUAGUGGAUGGCCAGCCAGAUGCACAUGGUGUGUGAGGCACUUUGUGGCAGAGGCGGGCAGGGAGGUGGAAGCCUUCCAGUUCUUUCUGAGUUGACUGAUGUGAGGUUGUCAGUCACACUGCCAGGCACUGUUUUGACUCCACUCAUCAAGAUUUGCACUGUGCAGCUCCAAAAAAGGUAUCUGCUUUGAAAGUAGUGUUCUGCAUUCUUGGAGCAGAUGACUGGUGACAACAUCCAAUUAAAUAUAAACGCUUGGCCAGGGGACUUGACUUGGAGGGUUGGUGAAGUUUCAGGUCUAACUUGUUAAACUUGGCCUUCCUCAAAUACUGGACAACUUUCUCCAAAAACAGCACUUCAGGGAAUCAAACCUAAUUAUAAGUGGCAUCUUCAAUUGGACAUAGAUCUCCAUCAGCCACCUUCCUGCCUCGGGAAAGGCGUACAUCAACCCCAGGCUAGAGAAAGGAUCUGUGAUACCUGAUGACUUCUUUGUCUUUCCCACUGGUUCAAUCCUAUUUCAGCCAUUCAUGAGAUGAAUAUCUACGAGGCAUUUACAGGGAGGAAGGCACAUAUCUGCGGAGGUGACGACUGGGCUGAUGUGAUUCUGUGAACCACUUGAGGGCAGAGGCUUUGGCUUUAUCUUCAUACUUCCGACACCUAGCAGAGUGCCUGCUGCCCGGCAUGGGAGAGCCUCGGUUUGGCAACUGACUUCCAGGGGACAUUGUGAAAGCUGGUUGACUCUUGGUCACGUGUUGCAGUGAUAAGCCAGUAGCAUCCUUGACUCUGAGCACCUCCCUCCCCCUACUGGGAGGUUACCCCACUUGUUCUUCACCAUCAUGGCCACCACUGGACCCUAGUGUCUCAUUUCACACUACAGGCUCCCCCUGUAAAAUAAAAUUGAUAAGAGGCUUUCUCACUGGUCAGA